UACAGAGGGUGCGAGCGUUGUCCGGAAUUACUGGGCGUAAAGCGCACGUAGGCGGCUUUGCAAGUUAGAGGUGAAAGCCUGGGGCUCAACUCCAGAACUGCCUUUAAAACUGCAUCGCUUGAAUCCAGGAGAGGUGAGUGGAAUUCCGAGUGUAGAGGUGAAAUUCGUAGAUAUUCGGAAGAACACCAGUGGCGAAGGCGGCUCACUGGACUGGUAUUGACGCUGAGGUGCGAAAGCGUGGGGAGCAAACAGG
rnacentral:rRNA from 1 species